GCGGAUAUGGUGUAGCGGUAGCAUCUGAGUCUUCCAAACUCUAGGCACGAGUUCGAUCCUCGUUGUCCGCU
rnacentral:tRNA from 1 species